rnacentral:rRNA from 1 species
UACGUAGGGGGCGAGCGUUGUCCGGAAUUAUUGGGCGUAAAGAGCUCGUAGGCGGUUCGGCAAGUCACGUGUGAAAUCUCCGCGCUCAACGUGGAGUCGCCACGUGAGACUGCCGUGACUCGAGUCCGGUAGGGGAGCGUGGAAUUCCCGGUGUAGCGGUGAAAUGCGCAGAGAUCGGGAGGAACACCCGUAGCGAAGGCGGCGCUCUGGGCCGGUACUGACGCUGAGGAGCGAAAGCGUGGGGAGCAAACAGG